rnacentral:lncRNA from 1 species
AAAAGGUGUGGUAAGCUGGGGGCUUUGUCUUUGCUGCCCAGAGCAGCACUGAUCAGACCCAAAGCUCAGCUUCUUCUCAGUCUCAUUUUUCUACCUUUCCUGUAAUUCGCCGUGUGCUGCCGUGGCUCGCAGGAGACCAGGACUAACUGCAGAGCAAUUUCUGCAGUUUUAUAAAACUCAUGCAAAAAGCAAUAGGCCAAUAUCUGGCUUUCCCAGCAAGUCACCAAGCAGUGCUACUGGAAGCUGCAACCUGGGUGUCUGAUGCUAUCCUGAAGCCACCAUGAUCCAUAAAGCCACCAAGCUGCACUCCAGAGAAAGGUAUAUAAAAAGGAUCAAAUGAAGAAAAUGUAAGAAUGAUGGUUUUUUCAAACUUGAUCACCGACGACUCACCUAAUAUACAAUUUAUUAGCUCACAUAAGAACAUAUAUUCCAAAAAGGAAAGAUAAACAGAGAAGUUGAAAAACCUCAAGUAACAUAAAAGGAAGAGUGAAGUUGAAGUAAAGAAGACAAAUACACUUUUAACUCUGAAAUGUGCUCCUGUUCUUUAACAAUGAAAACUUUCCAUUGAACAGGUUAAUUGGAUAUCCUGCAGUGCUGCUAUGUUGCAGUUCACAAGAAUGACUUCACCUUGAAAAGGAUAUUUCCUAUCAAGGAUGUUUCCUUGAUAUUUUCUAUCUGCCUCCAUCAUGCUUUUCUGUGUAACAUUUCAACAAUAAAUGUUGUCUUUGUUAUAAAACAAAUAAUGAUCAUACAUGUAAGUCACUGGAGGAACCAAUAUAAUUAUAUUUUGUUCUUUCUUUG